rnacentral:rRNA from 1 species
AUUGAACGCUGGCGGCAGGCCUAACACAUGCAAGUCGAGCGGAUGAAGGGAGCUUGCUCCUGGCUUCAGCGGCGGACGGGUGAGUAAUGCCUAGGAAUCUGCCUGGUCGUGGGGGCUAACGUCCGGAAACGGGCGCUAAUACCGCAUACGUCCUGAUGGAGAAAGUGGGGGAUCUUCGGACCUCACGCUAUUAGAUGAGCCUAGGUCGGAUUAGCUAGUUGGUGGGGUAAAGGCCUACCAAGGCGACGAUCCGUAACUGGUCUGAGAGGAUGAUCAGUCACACUGGAACUGAGACACGGUCCAGACUCCUACGGGAGGCAGCAGUGGGGAAUAUUGGACAAUAGGCGAAAGCCUGAUCCAGCCAUGCCGCGUGUGUGAAGAAGGUCUUCGGAUUGUAAAGCACUUUAAGUUGGGAAGAAGGACAGUAAGUUAAUACCUUGCUGUUUUGACGUUACCAACAGAAUAAGCACCGGCUAACUUCGUG